GACGAACGCUGGCGGCGUGCCUAAUACAUGCAAGUCGAACGCAGUUGCGAACGGGUGAGUAACGCGUAGGUACCUGCAUCAUAGCGGGGGACAACUAUUGGAAACGAUUGCUAAUACCGCCUACUGUGAGAUUGACCUGCGUUGUAUUAGCUAGUUGGGGAGGUAAAGGCUCACCAAGGCGACGAUGCAUAGCCGACCUGAGAGGGUGAUCGGCCACAUUGGGACUGAGACACGGCCCAGACUCCUACGGGAGGCAGCAGUAGGGAAUCUUCGGCAAUGGACGGAAGUCUGACCGAGCAACGCCGCGUGAGUGAGGAAGGUUUUCGGGUUGUAAAGCUCUGUUAUUCGGGAAGCGGUAACUGACCAGAAAGCGACGGCUAACUACGUGCCAGCAGCCGCGGUAAUAC
rnacentral:rRNA from 1 species